rfam:Trichobilharzia regenti genome assembly, scaffold: TRE_scaffold0042299
GUACUCGCUUCGGCGGUACAUAUACUAGAAUUGAAACAAUACAGAGAAGAUUAGUAUGGCCCCUAUGCAAGCAUGACACGCAAAAUCGUGAAGCGUACCAUAUUUUU